rnacentral:rRNA from 1 species
GACGAACGCUGGCGGCGUGCCUAAUACAUGCAAGUCGAACGCAUUUUCUUUCACCGUAGCUUGCUACACCGAAAGAAAAUGAGUGGCGAACGGGUGAGUAACACGUGGGUAACCUGCCCAUCAGCGGGGGAUAACACUUGGAAACAGGUGCUAAUACCGCAUAAUUCCAUUUACCGCAUGGUAGAUGGAUGAAAGGCGCUUUUGCGUCACUGAUGGAUGGACCCGCGGUGCAUUAGCUAGUUGGUGGGGUAACGGCCUACCAAGGCUGCGAUGCAUAGCCGACCUGCGAGGGUGAUCGGCCACACUGGGACUGAGACACGGCCCAGACUCCUACGGGAGGCAGCAGUAGGGAAUCUUCGGCAAUGGACACAAGUCUGACCGAGCAACGCCGCGUGAGUGAAGAAGGUUUUCGGAUCGUAAAACUCUGUUGUUAGAGAAGAACAAGGAUGAGAGUGGAAAGUUCAUCCCUUGACGGUAUCUAACCAGAAAGCCACGGCUAACUACGUG